AGAUCCAAUUUCGGAUACAAGCAUAUCUUGUGAAGCUUUCCAAUACUGAUCUUGGAUUAUAUUAGAGUUGUGGUGUAGGCACAGGUGGACGCUAGAUCUACAGCUUCACGCUGAAACUAUUCGGACGUGGAGCAUUCAUCCGGACUUGAAAAUGAAUACUAGGAGAACAAUUGGACAAAGUAGAGGAGGAGUAGCUGCUGGGGACAAUCAGGUUCCACCCCAUGCUCCAUUUGAAGGAGUGGUGAUGCCAGUUAACCCUGCUAGGUUGACUGAUGCUGAGGUGAGGGCAUCUCUGGCCCAUAUGGAACAAGCCAUCACAAUGCAGGCCAAGGCCAUGACCGACCAGGUCAACCGACAAAAUGUUCAGAGGGAGAACCCACGGGUUUGUUGUAUCGGUGACAGGCUAAGAGACUCUACGUGGAUGAAUCCUCAUAUUUUCAUAGGGUCUAAGAAUUCAUAGGAUCUUCACGAGUUUGUUGAUGAGGUGCAUAAGAUAUUUAUGGCUAUGGGGCCCACAAAUAGUGAGAAUGCAGAGUUUGCUUCCUACCAAUUAAAGGAUGCUGCACAGACUUGGUGCAACAUGAGUCAAGAUAGCUGAGUUUUGGUGGAGCUUUGGUCACUUGGGAGCUAUUUAAGACAACCAAUCUGGAAAGGUUCUUUCGUAGAGAGACAAGGAAGGCCAAGGUUGAGGAGCUUAUUAACCUUAAGCAGGGAUCCAUGACAAUCAAGGAGUAUUCCCUGAAGUUUGUUUAAAUUUCCAGGUAUGCUACUUCCCUUGUAUCUAUCCAGAGAGAUGAGAUGAGAAAGUUCCUCAAAGGAAUCAACUGAGAUUUGGAGGAGGAGUGUCAGUUUGCGACGCUCCACAAUAACAUGGACCUCUCCAGGUUGAUGGUUAAUGUCCAGUAAGUAGAGGACAAUCGUAAGAACAGGGGCGUUCAUGAUGCUAGGAGGCCUAAGCCUUAAGAUCAGACAGGUCCCAACCAUGGAGGCCACAGAAACAAUUUUGGCGUCCGUGAGCAGCCCAGGUUCAAAAAUGGGCAACGAAGUUCAGUGAACUCUAACUCUCAUAAAAGUACAACCCCUAUAGGAGGCAGACCCGACCCUGGAAGGGCAACAGAGGUGAGAUGCAGAGUCCCAGAAAGAACUGUGCUAAGUGUGGCAGUGCUCACAAUGGAGAGUGCAGACAGGGCACUAAUGCCUUCUUCGAUUACGGUAAGAGUGGACACAUGGUUAAGGACUGCCCACAGAACGAGGUCAGGCUGGAGGUAAUGAUCAAGAUAGGCAUAAUCCAAAGGAUGCAACAGCAACCGAGUCUCCUAAGAGGAAUAGGUUCUACGCCCUUAAGGAAAGGGAGGAGCAGGAGAAGUUUGCUGAUGUAGUUACAAGCAAAGAGAAGGGUUUCCGUCGAGUUUGGUGUUGAACUUUUUGUGUUGGUCGUGUGUUUGGAGGAGUUAUUUGGCAAGCAAUUCGAGGUUUGAACGUCAAAAAGGUACAGGCACACGUGGAUGCUAGAUCUACAGGUUGAUGCUGAAACUAUCCGGACGUGGAGCAUUCAUCCAGACUUGGCAGGGCCUCAUGAUUUAGAGAAUGCUUGCUCAUUAUAUUGUAGCUUAGUUAUAGGAUUGAGCUAGUGGAGGAUGUUCCAGUAGUGUUUCUUAUAUUUCCUACUUUAGACUUUGUAUUGGUGCCAUUUUUCGCAAUUAUACAUUUAAUGCA